ensembl:ncRNA T03G11.14 ncRNA
GGAGUAACAAAAAAAAAAGAAAAGAAAAAAGAAGGAUCAUCUUUGAUUAUGGGAGUUUUAACUACGUGUAGAGCAUUGGAAUUGGAAUAUUUGUAAAAAUGAAAGAGUUGAAAAGCGGAAUAUAGAACUGGAGAGAAAGAAAAAUCAAAUUAUUUUAUAAUACAUAUAUGAAAUCUGGUUAGAAUAGAAAAAAAAAUGAAACCGAGUAAAUAUGUGCAUUCACUUUUUUUCUUAGUAAUGAAAAAUGAAAAAAGAGCUGAAUCUCUCGGAAGAAGCACCGGAAGUCUGUGUACAUCUGCCAGGGCUGAAAAACCAAGUAAACGAACAUGGA